UUCUGAGUGCAACCGCUCCAGUUGGGAC
rnacentral:sRNA from 1 species